rnacentral:rRNA from 1 species
UUCGGAUUGCAGGCUGCAACCCGCCUGUAUGAAGUUGGAAUCGCUAGUAAUCGCGGAUCAGCAUGCCGCGGUGAAUACGUUCCCGGGCCUUGUACACACCGCCCGUCACACCAUGAGAGUCGGGAACACCCGAAGUCCGUAGCCUAACCGCAAGGGGGGCGCGGCCGAAGGUGGGUUCGAUAAUUGGGGUGAAGUCGUAACAAGGUAAC